rnacentral:rRNA from 1 species
CCUACGGGUGGCUGCAGUGGGGAAUAUUGGACAAUGGGGGGAACCCUGAUCCAGCCAUGCCGCGUGUGUGAAGAAGGCCCUCGGGUUGUAAAGCACUUUCAGUGAGGAAGAACGCCUGGUGGUUAAUACCCAUCAGGAAAGACAUCACUCACAGAAGAAGCACCGGCUAACUCCGUGCCAGCAGCCGCGGUAAUACGGAGGGUGCGAGCGUUAAUCGGAAUUACUGGGCGUAAAGCGCGCGUAGGUGGCUUGAUAAGCCGGUUGUGAAAGCCCCGGGCUCAACCUGGGAACGGCAUCCGGAACUGUCAAGCUAGAGUGCAGGAGAGGAAGGUAGAAUUCCCGGUGUAGCGGUGAAAUGCGUAGAGAUCGGGAGGAAUACCUGUGGCGAAGGCGGCCUUCUGGACUGACACUGACACUGAGGUGCGAAAGCGUGGGUAGCAAACAGGAUUAGAUACCCGGGUAGUC